GUUUUACUCUGUCACCCAAGCUGAAAUUCAGUGGUGUGAUCACAGCUCACUGCAAUCUUGAACUCCUGGACUCUGACAGGAAGAAAAGAGGAGGCGUGGAGGAAGGCUCUCAUCUUAUACAAUACAUCUGUCACCAUGGAUGGGAUGCCAGUAGAAAUGAGGACGGUAAAGGCCACUCUGGGGAGAUCUCAGACGGAAAUGAAGAACUCGUUCUUGGAACCUGGAGGAAAGGCGAUUCUCCUUGUUAUAACGUUUCUCUCACAGGCUCAUCUACAAUAAAGAAGACAUUGCUUCUCAGAGACAUCUGAAUAAAACCAUGGAGACCCGUCUAGCCCAGCCCAUCCUGCUAGUUCAGGAACACUUCUUCUAAUCUGCAGGCUGGUGGUCAUCCAGUAUUUGCAUGAUGCCAUGGCCUGAAGUUACUGCAUGUUACCAUUCCUGGAGGGACUGCUGUGACAUUUCAUUGACUUUAUUCAGUUGUUUGCUGAAAGUAGCUUGGGGAAUGGGUACUCUAGGGUUUUUGCUCUUUCAGAGGUGUUGACCAUGGACUUUUCCCUAUGUCAGAGUAGUUUGCAAACUUGUGAAAUGGUUAAAAUAUGUCUUGGGCAAUUGUUUAGUUCUUCUUUUCGUUUUCUUGAUGUGUUUUUUCUCCACCCAAGAUCUCCAGUGCCCUGAGCUGCCUGAAUGUCUUUACUCCCACUUGGCUUCCUACCACUUGGUCACUGUCUGGGGUUUACAUUUUCACUUCCUGUAAAAAUUGUGCUUUGUUUCCUUGGAAACAUUUAGAACAGAACAAGUCAUAGCAAGUAGUCAAUGAUUAACACAGAUAUAAUUAUUUAUCAGUGUGCUUUUGGCAUGUUUGUCGAUUUUUUUCUACUGUAACCCUUCCCAAAUAAACUUGUCAUGAUGGAUUUUCAGACAUCGGAAAUGGGCUGAUGGGGAUUUUACAGGUGUUGAGACCAAGAAAAGUUAUACUUCUCAGCUUCCCCAUUAAACAUGUCACCUGGAUUUUCAUCUAUUUUACUUAAGUAUUGAUUUCUUAUAUAGAUGAAACAAUUCAAAGUAGAGCAUCUCAUAGAGCAAGUUCAAGCCUACUAUAAACUGGUGGCUACAUGCCAGGGUCUAAUCUGGUAGAAGAAGCAUGGCAAAGAAGUAUCUGGGGAGUAGGGAUAUGCAGGUAGUGGGUAGAUAAUACCUGGCUAUUAGGGGAUCCUCCCAGGAUCCAGUUUGGGACCCAUCAGUGCUAAUGACUCCUAGUGGGAAAAGGAGUCAUAUACAACCAAGAAGCUAUUAAAGAUCUCAGAGGAGGUUUUGCAUUUUAGCCAUUGGUUGAUUCAGAUGGCAAGACUCAUCUUUAAGGACAAUUUAAAAAUUUUCCCUGUAUCAGAUGUUUUAUAGUCUGCACCUUGGAUUCUCAAACUGUCUUCACUGUAGCUAGUUAUGAAGUGAUUUUCCACACUGAUAGGAGCUCAGGCGGAGCUUCCCUUCCUCGUUGCCAAGACCCUGAAGGCUCAACUACAUCCUAUUGUCUCUCUUCCUUAGAAUGGUUGAGGGAGAGGCUACAUAGAAUCCUCUGGCUGGGUUAGGACAGCAAGACUCAUUCCUGGACCUUUGUUUCAGCUUGAAAUACACCACAAAUUAAUUGGGCUGAUGCAGGUAAUUAAGAUCUUCACUUGGAUUGUGUGCCUUUCCUCUGAAAAAUUUCCUUGAGUUGCCAGAUCUAAGCUUUGUGUAUUGAAAUAUUAAUGAUUCAUGACUUUUAAAGAAAAUGUUUUUCCUUUGAAUGGAAUUCAGGGCUAAGAAAAUGUUCAGAUUGAAAAUGGAAUUCAGGGCUAAGAAAAUGUUCAGAUUGAUUAGCACCUAUGCUGUAGACUUACAUAUUUCUCCCUGUAAUUGUGCAUCAUUUGCCAUAACAUAUGUCUCAAGGAGUUCAAUGCCAAACUUUCUGUAGAUUCCCACUGUUAUAAUGACAAUGAUUUCUGGUGUCUACUCCCAAAUGGUCUUGUAGCAGAGAGAGAAAUAUUCUGGGAUAUUUUCUAGAUCUGCAGUCAGAGAAGACUCAACUUUGAGUACAAAUAUGAUGGUAAAGAUGGGCAACUUACAGUCAGUCAGUUGGAAAACAAGUCACCAAUAAAAAGGAUAGGAUAAUCCAAGUCCUUUGGCAUUCUCUGCUGGUAGUUACCAUUCUUUAGCCUGACCAUAUUUGUGCUUACAUGUCUAAUAAAUUAUGAUAUUGUCCCUUUUUCUCCUUUUUGAUAUACAUGCUUCAUAUCUGAUUCUAAUUUUAAUGCUUCUGAUCAUGAGCUAGUUGCCUGAUCCUUAAUUCUCAUAGGUCCCUGAUAUAGUUUGGCUGUGUCCCUACCCAAACGUCACCCUGAAUUGUAAUAAUCCCCAUUGUCAAGAGCUGGGCCAGGUGGAGAUAAUUAAAUCAUGGGGCAGUUUCCACCAUACUGUUCCCGUGGUAGUAAGCCUCACGAGAUCUGAUGGUUUUAUGAAUGGGAGUUCCACUGCACAAGCUCUCUUGCCUGCCACCAUGUAAGAUGUGACUUUGCUUCUCCCUUGCCUUCUGCCAUGAUUGUGAGGCCUCCCCAGCCAUGUGAAAUUGUGAGUCCAUUAAACCUCUUUCCUUUAUAAAUUACCCAGUCUUGGGUAUGUCUUUAUUAGCAGUGUGAGAACAGACUUAUAGAGUUCCUAAGGUUUAGAAGUUAAGCGGGGAAUGCACCUUACCUGACUUUGCAAAUUCCUACUGUAGUGGCAUGGCAGAGGCCCCUCAUCUUCUUCUGACAGCUAAGUGUUCUUUAAUUGUGCACCAAAGCUCUUCUGUCCUCUCUUAGAAUUCAGAUCACUCUUGGUUGGAGAAGAGUAUUAGCAUAAACAUUUAAAAAUAAACAUUGUUGAAUUAUAUUUAAUUACAAUCAAUCACACUUAUUUUUCUCCUUUUUCUUAAAAAAAGUCUUCUAAAUGGUUCAGUAGAUGGAAACAUGUUGCAAUGAAACAUUUAAUAAUAAUUUGAGCUCAGCAGAGUAGUCUACUGUUACCUUAAGACAGCACUGACAUUUGAUUUACAAUUUGGGAAUUUUUAACAAAUUUAUAUAUUCAUGUAAACAUUAAACAAGUCAAUAUAGAGAAUAUUUCCAUCUAAGAAAAUGUCUUUAUGCCCCUCAUCAGCCAAUCCUGCUCCAAGCAAUUAUUGAUCUGAUUUCUAUAUAAUGGAUUAGUUUUGCUUGUUCUAAAAUUUAUAGCAUGAAUCCUUUGCAUGUUAUUUUACUUAGCAUGAAGAUUUCGAGAUUCCUUUUUAUCACUGUAUUUGACAGUAGCUUAUGUAAAUUGCUGGGUAUAUUUCACUAUAUGAAUAUAUAACCAUUUAUUUACCCAUUUACCCACUGAUGAACAUUUCUGUUGUUUCCAAUUAGAGUUAUGAUAAAGAAAUCUGUGUGAACAUUUAUUCAGGUUGGACUCCUUUUGAAGAUUUGUGUUUCCAGUUCUCUUGGAUAACUAUCCAGGAGUAGCAUUCUUAGAUCACAGAGUGGGCAUAUUUUUAAAUUUUUUAAGAAACUGUCAGUCUGCUUUGCAAAGAGACUGGCAGUUUCUUGUAAUUCUUUUUUGUCUCCUUCCAGUUGCCAAGAGGCUGAAGUUCAACUACAUCCUGUUGUUACUGUCUCUGUUUCCUAGAAUGGUUGAGGGAGAGGCUUCACAGAAUCCUCUGACUGGACUGGGACAGCAAGAUUCAUUCUUGCACCUCUCCUAUAUUGCUGCACAUUUUCACAGGAGUGUAGGAGAGUUCUAGUCAUUCCAAAUCUUUGCAACAUUUACAACAUUUGGUAUUGUCAGUCCUUCACAUUUUAGUCAUUCUAGUGGGUAUGUGGUAGUA